CCGGGCAGGCCUCCCCAGCUCCCCAACCCCGGGCGUCCGGCCGGCGCAGCUGUAGGGCCACCGAGCACCGAGCUCUGAACCCCAGCCGGCCCCGACGGUCGCUCAGUCAGCAGCGGCUUCCGCGUGCCCGCCCCCCAGAGGAGGGAGCCUCGGUCCUCGCACCGCGCGCGCAGCCGGCAGCGUCUCCUCCUCCUGCCGAGCGCCUAGCGGGAGGCGUCGGACUGCGCCAGGGCCGUGGCCGGGGCACCAGCCCUGGAAAGGCGCGCCGGGGUCCAAAUUCCAUAUAAGAGGCCGCCUCCCCGUGGGCUCUGCUAGGGCAGCGCCGGCCCGCGGCCUGCGCUCGGCCCCGCGGCUGACAUUGGGGCGCGCCCCACGGCGGACGGAGCCCGGGAGCCGCACACUUCCUCCAGCGAACGCGGCUGCGACGGUGGCUCCCUCCCGGCUCCGUCGGCGCCGGGCCGGGACCGGGGUGCGAGGGUCCUAGGAGGCUAGCGCGGCCGCGCCGAGGGUUGCUAGAUCCGGACGCGGCGAGCGAGGCGAGCCGGCGGGCCCCGAGCCGCGGCGCGGGCGUCCCCGGGCUGGCCGGCCGGGCUCAGGCGCGUCUGCGGGACGCGGGCGGGCCGACUCCGGGGCGCUGCGUGCGCGCCGGGGCAGUCAUUCAGAUGAAAUUCCAGUCCCCGGCCAGAGACACCAGCCCGCCUCUGCCUUCCUCCUCCCUUCACAAAUAGAAACGGAAGGGGGAGGGAGAGAAGUAGGGGAAAAAAAAAAAAAAAAAAAGGCAACCAGCGAGGGAGGGAGGGAGGAAGGGAGAAGCCCCGGAGGUGGCCGGCCCGACCCCCUCGUCGCUACUUCAGCGUUCCCCCGAGGCCCCGCGCCGGCUCGCCUCCCUCAGGAAGGGGCGCGGGGGUCGCCGCUGGGGCUGGGGGUGCGUCCCCGCGGCCCGCCGGUCGGCCCUGCUGCCUGCGCAGAGAGGAAGGGCGCCCUCGCCGCCGCCGCGCCGCCGCGAAGAGGGCGGGCGGGGGAGGGGCCACGGCCCACGGGACCGGCCGGAGGGGCACGCGGGGUCCCGCGUCUCCACGCCGCGGCCCGGACUCGGAGUACGCAGCCGUCCGCAUACAAUAGGGUCCAAGCAGGGUCCGUCCGGCAGGGUGGGGACGCGGGCGGGCAGGGGUCUGCAGAGAACCAGGAUCUCGGGCUGGGGGCGGGGAUGGUGGUGUCCCUACAUCAAGGCCUGUCCCGCUACUCGGGAAGGAGGCGGGGAGCCGGGAGGGGGGGAGGUGAGGAGAAAGCGGCAGGCGGCGCCUUUAAUCAGCACCCGCUGGUUCAGCCCACCCGGCACAAGCGGAAUAAACGGACGAGGGGGAGGGGAAGGGGCGGGGCGUACUUUCCGGAAGUGCUGUUACAGCUGUGA
rnacentral:lncRNA from 1 species